GUAAAAACUACAGCGUUAUUUUACAGAAGCUGACUGUAUUUUAAAUAAUACAGAAUAUUGCUGUAAAGUGCAAUGCAUUCUGGGGUCACGUGACGGAUUAACUCAAUGUACAGAAUAUUGCUGUAAAUUUCAAAUCUACAAUGGCGGGAUGAUCUUCAACAGUCGAGAUUGGGGUAGUGCGCAAAAUGAAUGAUUCACACCUGUGGACACACUUUGCUAUGCAGGCCACUGGAUGCUGACUACUGAAGGUUAGGUUGUGUGUGACGGUGCUCAGCACAGCUUCAUGUCUGGCCUUCCCACUCUGUUCAUAGCAUGUUACAUAUUCAAUCUUGAGUACCAGGAUGGGGCAGCAUGUACUUGGAGUCCAAUGAAAGAUAUUAAUCCAGAGAGUGGAACAAGCAGCGUCAUCUAAAAUGCCAGGAUACAGAAGAAACAGGUUGCAGUGAACCCACAUGUCGCCGCUCUUCUAAACACAAUGAUGAAUAUUCAGUGUAAUCGAUGAAAAUUCCAGCUACUUGUUGUGCUCUGAUGGAUCAAGAUGUGGACCGUUUUACAGACUCACUUGGGCCUUGUUUUGCAAUGUUGUUUCAUGAUGGUAAUGUUGGUUAACGUGUUGUUUAAACAUGAAUGUUUAAAGAGCCAUGUUGGAUACUAUGAAGUUCUUACUGAAUAAAAUUAUUUCAUGUACAACAACGUACACAAUUUGUCUGUAAUGUAUUUUUGUAUCAAUUAAAAAAAAAUAAACACUGUAUAUCCAGUAUGCAAAACAUACUGGAUAUACAGUGAUUUAUGUAUUUCUUCUAAAUAAAGUAAAUUAAAAUCAAGCAAUUUGCUGUAAAAAAUACAGCAUUAUACUGUUGCUAUUCAAAAUUACAGUUUUUCCUGUAUUCUGCAAUUACAGUAAAUGGCUGUAAAUUAAAUUACAGUACUGUGGCUGUACAAUUUACAGUAACUGGCUGGCAACCCUGCUGCCAGUAGUUUACUGUAAAUUUUACAGGA